UUACUUUCUGUACUAUCUUUAUUUUCUUAUAUUCUAUCCCCCCACACUCCUCAUAGUCUCUUCCUCACAAUUUCUUUUAUUUUUCUCUUGCAUCAAGUAAAAGUUGUCUUCUAUAAAGAAUUUUGCUAGCACGAAACUAGUUUUGCUGCCUUAGUUUCUGCAGCAUUGCAUAGCAUGACAAGGCCUCACACAGAUGAAGCUGAAUUUCCCUUCUUUAUUUGCUUUCAAAGCCAGUGGGAGCUAUGUCCAUACACCUGAUGACAUUAUUUAGUCACUAGACAUUAGAACAAAGACUUGUGGGAAAAGCAAAAAACUCUCUAUGAAAUUAUGAAUCUUCUUAGAGGAUUCGCAGCAGACAUUUUCAGCAAUUCAGACAUAACAGAGAGAUUAUUCUUCAGACCACUGAUUUACAGCUGGGGCACAAAGGGAGUAGGUGAAAACCAUUCUGUUCAUCUCAACCUCUGCCCAACCAGGGUUUCCCAUGUUUUCUUUGAAUACUUGUGUUGUUCAUCUGCACACUUUUGCUGGUCACUCCAAACCAAUGCAGAGCAGAAGGUGGCAGUUUUGUGACAGUACUAAUCUGUCACUGUGAUAUUUUCUGAAAAAUCUCUUUGCCCAGAAUUCUUCUCCUGGGAAGCUGAGAGGCCUCAGAGAAAAAGCUGCAGAGAGAAGCGAUAGAGGCCUUGGAGGGUGCCUGGCAGCCAGACAGGAUCAAUCCACCACUGUACAUGAAGUUACUGACCUCAAGAUGUGCUUCUGAAGCUUCAUAGAGCAGAAGCAGAAACAUUACCAAGGGAUGAUGCCCUAAUUAUUCCAGAGUUCAGCACCACCACUGUGAGCAAAAUAAAAGCCUGAGCACUAGCAUUCUGCCUCCUUCCCUCCUACUGGCUGGGCUGCACAGCUGAGCCUGAGUCAGCUUACCAAAGUCAUCAGCAGAAGUGAAUCACUUCCACAUGAAGCUGAUAAGGG